rnacentral:rRNA from 1 species
AUUGAACGCUGGCGGCAGGCCUAACACAUGCAAGUCGAGCGGAUGAAGGGAGCUUGCUCCUGGAUUCAGCGGCGGACGGGUGAGUAAUGCCUAGGAAUCUGCCUGGUAGUGGGGGAUAACGUCCGGAAACGGGCGCUAAUACCGCAUACGUCCUGAGGGAGAAAGUGGGGGAUCUUCGGACCUCACGCUAUCAGAUGAGCCUAGGUCGGAUUAGCUAGUUGGUGGGGUAAAGGCCUACCAAGGCGACGAUCCGUAACUGGUCUGAGAGGAUGAUCAGUCACAGUGGAACUGAGACACGGUCCAGACUCCUACGGGAGGCAGCAGUGGGGAAUAUUGGACAAUGGGCGAAAGCCUGAUCCAGCCAUGCCGCGUGUGUGAAGAAGGUCUUCGGAUUGUAAAGCACUUUAAGUUGGGAGGAAGGGCAGUAAGUUAAUACCUUGCUGUUUGGACGUUACCAACAGAAUAAGCACCGGCUAACUUCGU